rnacentral:rRNA from 1 species
GACGAACGCUGGCGGCGUGCUUAACACAUGCAAGUCGAACGGAAAGGCCCUGCUUUUGUGGGGUGCUCGAGUGGCGAACGGGUGAGUAACACGUGAGUAACCUGCCCUUGACUUUGGGAUAACUUCAGGAAACUGGGGCUAAUACCGGCUAUGCGCUCCUGCUGCAUGGUGGGGGUUGGAAAGUUUCGGCGGUUGGGGAUGGACUCGCGGCUUAUCAGCUUGGUGGUGGGGUAGUGGCUUACCAAGGCUUUGACGGGUAGCCGGCCUGAGAGGGUGACCGGCCACAGUGGGACUGAUAUACGGCCCAGACUCCUACGGGAGGCAGCAGUGGGGAAUAUUGCACAAUGGGCGGAAGCCUGAGGCAGCAACGCCGCGUGCGGGAUGACGGCCUUCGGGUUGUAAACCGCUUUCGCCUGUGACGAAGCGUGAGUGACGGUAAUGGGUAAAGAAGCACCGGCUAACUACGUG